CAACUUUUAACGGGGGACCCCUCGGGUCGUGCGUCGAUGAAAAACGCAGCAAACUGGGAUACCUAGUGNGAAUUGCAGAAUUCCGUGAAUCAUCGAGUCUUUGAACGCAAAUUGCGCCCUCGGUUUGAAGCCGGGGGCACGUCUGUCUGAGCGUCCGUU
rnacentral:rRNA from 1 species